GCCUCUGUACAAAAGCUCAGUUGGUUAGACGGCUGCACCGGAAUUGCAGGGUCGCAUUUUCGAAUCCUGCCAGAAGGCC